rnacentral:rRNA from 1 species
CCUACGGGAGGCAGCAGUGGGGAAUAUUGGACAAUGGGCGAAAGCCUGAUCCAGCAAUGCCGCGUGAGUGAUGAAGGCCUUCGGGUCGUAAAGCUCUUUUACCAGGGAUGAUAAUGACAGUACCUGGAGAAUAAGCUCCGGCUAACUCCGUGCCAGCAGCCGCGGUAAUACGGAGGGAGCUAGCGUUGUUCGGAAUUACUGGGCGUAAAGAGUACGUAGGCGGUUAUUCAAGUCAGAGGUGAAAGCCCGGGGCUCAACCCCGGAACUGCCUUUGAAACUAGAUAACUAGAGUCUUGGAGAGGUUAGUGGAAUUCCGAGUGUAGAGGUGAAAUUCGUAGAUAUUCGGAAGAACACCAGUGGCGAAGGCGACUAACUGGACAAGUACUGACGCUGAGGUACGAAAGCGUGGGGAGCAAACAGGAUUAGAUACCCUGGUAGUCCACGCCGUAAACGAUGAUAACUAGUUGUUCGGUCACUUGGUGACUGAGUGACGCAGCUAACGCAUUAAGUUAUCCGCCUGGGGAGUACGGUCGCAAGAUUAAAACUANAANAUAUGACGNNGAGAGCGACGAGACACACGGAGGUAGAG